UGCCAGCCGCCGCGGUAAGACGGAGGGUGCAAACGUUGUUCGGAAUCACUGGGCAUAAAGCGCACGUAGGCGGUUCGUCAAGUCAGGUGUGAAAUCCCUCGGCUCAACCGGGGAACUGCAUCUGAUACUGGCGAGCUCGAGGAUGGUAGGGGUGAGCGGAACUCCAGGUGGAGCGGUGAAAUGCGUAGAUAUCUGGAGGAACACCGGUGGCGAAGGCGGCUCACUGGACCAUCUCUGACGCUGAGGUGCGAAAGCCAGGGUAGCAAACGGGAUUAGAUA
rnacentral:rRNA from 1 species